CGCCAGUCUAUAAGUCUCCUCCACCACCGGUGUACAAGUACAAAUCUCCUCCCCCGCCGGUUUACAAGUACAAGUCACCACCACCGCCGCCAGUCUAUAAGUCUCCUCCACCACCGGUGUACAAGUACAAAUCUCCUCCCCCGCCGGUUUACAAGUACAAGUCACCACCGCCACCGGUGUACAAGUCGCCUCCUCCACCAACAAAGCCAUACAAGUACAAGUCUCCACCACCACCAGUCUAUAAGUCACCACCGCCACCGGUUUACAAGUAAAAACCCCCCCCGCCACCGGUGUACAAGUAUAAGUCACCGCCGCCUCCAGUCUACAAGUCUCCUCCGCCACCAGUUUACAAGUACAAAUCACCGCCGCCGCCAGUCUAUAAGUCACCACCGCCUCCAAUGAAGCCAUACAAGUACAAGUCACCACCACCGCCGCCGGUUUACAAGUCUCCUCCUCCGCCGGUGUACAAGUACAAAUCACCGCCGCCGCCAGUCUAUAAGUCACCACCGCCUCCAAUGAAGCCAUACAAGUACAAGUCACCACCACCGCCGCCAGUCUAUAAGUCUCCUCCACCACCGGUGUACAAGUACAAAUCACCACCGCCACCGGUUUACAAGUACAAGUCACCGCCGCCGCCGGUGCACAAACCACCUCCACAUUACAUCUCUGCGUCACCCCCUCCACCAUACCACGUCUAGAUGAGUCAACCCCCCAAGGUAAUACUACUAAUCAACAACUCAUAUCCAAUCACUGAAUAAGGGGCCGUUUGACAUAGAGAAAAUAUAUUUGUAUUUGUGGGAAAAUUAUUUAUUUUGAAAUUAACAUAUUUGCAUUAGUGACAAAUAUCACAAAUAUUUUUAGUUAUCAUUGGUUUAUCUUAUUCUGAAAAACAAUAACGUAAUUCUAAUUUCCUCAAAUAAAAAAUUUAGUUCUAUUAUUUAUGAAAUAUACAUAUCAAACAUUAUAGCCUAGCAAGUUUUUAUUAAUUAAUAAUACUGACCCCUCUCUCAACAACUCGAGCUAUUGGAGAUACGAUGAUCGAUUUUGGACAUGGUAUCAUAGAUUUAAAAAACCAAGAGGUCUCCUUUUCAAAUCCCGACAGUCUCCAUUCCGUACAUAUGACUUAUCGUGUGAACCUCAUUUCUUCUUAAAACUUCUGUCUGAAGGGCAUAUUAAUGAAUACUAUAUACAAAAUUGAUCUGAACCUUCCCCCAACAACUUACAAUGCAACGAUUCAUGACAAUUUUCUCGAUUUAGUACUCGAUACUCGGUACGAAACGGUGCCUUAAUUACUAACUUGUGUCUUGGUCCU
rnacentral:lncRNA from 1 species